GACGAACGCUGGCGGCGUGCCUAAUACAUGCAAGUUGAGCGCUGAAGGUUGGUACUUGUACCAACUGGAUGAGCAGCGAACGGGUGAGUAACGCGUGGGGAAUCUGCCUUUGAGCGGGGGACAACAUUUGGAAACGAAUGCUAAUACCGCAUAAAAACUUUAAACACAAGUUUUAAGUUUGAAAGAUGCAAUUGCAUCACUCAAAGAUGAUCCCGCGUUGUAUUAGCUAGUUGGUGAGGUAAAGGCUCACCAAGGCGAUGAUACAUAGCCGACCUGAGAGGGUGAUCUGCCACAUUGGGACGGAGACACGGCCCAAACUCCUACGGGAGGCAGCAGUAGGGAAUCUUCGGCAAUGGACGAAAGUCUGACCGAGCGACGCGGCGUGAGUGAAGAAGGUUGUCGGAUCGUAAAACUCUGUUGGUAGAGAAGAACGUUGGUGAGAGUGGAAAGCUCAUCAAGUGACGGUAACUACCCAGAAAGGGACGGCUAACUACGUG
rnacentral:rRNA from 1 species